rnacentral:rRNA from 1 species
GGUCAUUGCUGAGAUGACUAUUCCCACAGCCAAGGAGCAUGUUGCGAAUUUGUACGUAUCUGUUGCCCUCUGCCCCCCUUGCGUCCUCUGACCGGACCGGAAACCCGCCCAACCCGCCCCCAAACAUCUUAUUUCUUGUUCCUUAGUGAGCUUUUGAAUAAAAAGGCCUAGUGAAGCAACCUUUUCAACGCCUUAUCUAUUUGAAUCUGGAAUUUUGAACGAACGAUCUCUUGUGUCUGAAGUAAUGGAAAAUGCCAAAUUAAUGGAAUCAUCAAUGCUUUGAGCGCACUUUGCGGCCUCUGCUAUUCUGGAAGGCAUGCUUGUUCCAGCGUCUUUUCUGCCCUCAAUGCCGGUUCGAGGGUGGUUCCCCCCCUGUAACCCGUCGGGGCGUGCGGUCUUGGGGAGAGCUCUUCCGGCCCCCGAGCCUUCUCCUUAAUAUCUCGUUGUGCUCGGCCCUGCCUCUCCCGUGCCGUUAAUCCCCCACCUUCUGAAAUUGCGACCUCGGACCACGGCCGAAAACCCCCUAAACUUACUCAUAUGUUGACGUCGAAGAAGGUAGUAAUACCCGCUGAACUUAAGCAUAUCAAUAAGCGGAGGAA